rnacentral:rRNA from 1 species
AACGGCGGCCGUAACUAUAACGGUCCUAAGGUAGCGAAAUUCCUUGUCAGGUAAGUUCUGACCCGCACGAAUGGCGUAACGAUUUGGGCACUGUCUCAACAGCCCGCCCGGCGAAAUUGUAGUACCGGUGAAGAUGCCGGUUUCCCGCAACUAGACGGAAAGACCCCAUGGAGCUUCACUGUAGCUUGAUAUUGGAUCUCGGUAUUCCAUGUACAGGAUAGGUGGGAGGCUAGGAAGUAAGCGCGCCAGCGUUUAUGGAGCCAACCUUGGGAUACCACUCUUGGGAUAUUGGGAUUCUAACCUGCGACCAUGAAUCUGGUCGGGGGACACUGUCAGGUGGGCAGUUUGACUGGGGCGGUCGCCUCCAAAAGAGUAACGGAGGCGCUCAAAGGUUCGUUCAGCACGGAUGGAAAUCGUGCACUGAGUGUAAACGCAUAAACGAGCCUAACUGCGAGAAUGACGGUUCGAGCAGUAACGAAAGUUGGAGUUAGUGAUCCGGCGGUAUGUGAAUGGAAAUGCCGUCGCUCAACGGAUAAAAGCUACCCUGGGGAUAACAGGCUGAUCUCCCCCAAGAGUCCACAUCGACGGGGAGGUUUGGCACCUCGAUGUCGGCUCAUCGCAUCCUGGGGCUGAAGUAGGUCCCAAGGGUUGGGCUGUUCGCCCAUUAAAGCGGUACGCGAGCUGGGUUCAGAACGUCGUGAGACAGUUCGGUCCCUAUCUGUCGUGGGCGCAGGAUAUUUGAUGGGAGCUGUCCCUAGUACGAGAGGACCGGGAUGGACGUACCUCUGGCGCACCAGUUGUUCUGCCAAGGGCAUAGCUGGGCAACUAUGUACGGAUCGGAUAAACGCUGAAAGCAUCUAAGCGUGAAGCCGACCCAAAGAUAAGAUAUCCCACUGAUUUGAUCAGGUAAGACCCCUUGAAGACUACAAGGUUGAUAGGCAUGACGUGUAAGUGGAGUGAUCCAUUCAGCGAGCAUGUACUAAUAGGUCGAGGGCUUGACCAC